UACGUAGGGGGCAAGCGUUGUCCGGAAUCAUUGGGCGUAAAGCGCGUGUAGGCGGCUCGGUAAGUCCGCUCUGAAAGUCCAGGGCUCAACCCUGGGAUGCGGGUGGAUACUGCCGAGCUCGAGUCCGGAAGAGGCGAGUGGAAUUCCUGGUGUAGCGGUGAAAUGCGCAGAUAUCAGAAGGAACACCAAUGGCGAAGGCAGCUCGCUGGGACGUGACUGACGCUGAGACGCGAAAGCGUGGGGAGCGAACAGG
rnacentral:rRNA from 1 species